rnacentral:rRNA from 1 species
GACGAACGCUGGCGGCGUGCCUAAUACAUGCAAGUCGAACGAGAGCGACCGGUGCUUGCACUGGUCAAUCUAGUGGCGAACGGGUGAGUAACACGUGGGUAACCUGCCCAUCAGAGGGGGAUAACAUUCGGAAACGGAUGCUAAAACCGCAUAGGUCUUCGAACCGCAUGGUUUGAAGAGGAAAAGAGGCGCACGCUUCUGCUGAUGGAUGGACCCGCGGUGCAUUAGCUAGUUGGUGAGGUAACGGCUCACCAAGGCCGUGAUGCAUAGCCGACCUGAGAGGGUGAUCGGCCACAUUGGGACUGAGACACGGCCCAAACUCCUACGGGAGGCAGCAGUAGGGAAUCUUCCGCAAUGGACGCAAGUCUGACGGAGCAACGCCGCGUGAGUGAAGAAGGUUUUCGGAUCGUAAAACUCUGUUGUUAGAGAAGAACAAGUGCUAGAGUAACUGUUAGCGCCUUGACGGUAUCUAACCAGAAAGCCACGGCUAACUACGUG